rnacentral:rRNA from 1 species
UACGUAGGGGGCAAGCGUUGUCCGGAUUACUGGGCGUAAAGCGCGUGUAGGCGGCCACGCAGGUCCGUUGUGAAAACUGGAGGCUCAACUUCCAGACGUCGACGGAAACCGUGUGGCUAGAGUCCGGAAGAGGAGAGUGGAAUUUCUGGUGGUAGCGGUGAAAUGCGCAGAUAUCAGGAAGAACACCAAUGGCGAAGGCAGCUCUCUGGGACGGU